GAAAACUGCGGGGUGGGUGGUGGGGUUGGUUGUGGGGUGGAAGCUUGUAUCGGAAUUACUGUGCGUAAGGCGGGGGCAGGCAGUGAUGUAUGACAGAGGUUAAACGCCUGGGCUCAACCGGGGAAUUGCGUUGGUGACGGCAUAGGUCGAGUGCGGCAGAGGGGGAUGGAAUUCCGCGUGUAGCAGUGAAAUGCGUAGAGAGCGGGAGGAAGGCCGGUGGCGAAGGCGGCGCUCUGGAACAUACCUGACGCUGAUACACGAAAGCGUGGGGAGCAAACAGGAUUAGAUACCCUUGUAUUC
rnacentral:rRNA from 1 species